UACGGAGGAUGCGAGCGUUAUCCGGAUUUAUUGGGUUUAAAGGGUGCGUAGGCGGCUUUUUAAGUCAGCGGUGAAAUUUUGCAGCUUAACUGUAACAGUGCCGUUGAUACUGGGGAGCUAGGAUUUGGUUGCUGUGGGUGGAAUGUGUGGUGUAGCGGUGAGAUGCUUAGAUAUCACACAGAAUAUCGAUUGCGAAGGCAGCUCACAAAGCCAAGAUUGACGCUGAGGCACGAAAGUGUGGGGAUCAAACAGGA
rnacentral:rRNA from 1 species